AACGAACGCUGGCGGCGUGCUUAACACAUGCAAGUCGAACGGAAAGGCCCUGAUAUUGUGGGCUGACCGAGUGGCGAAGGGGUGCGUAACACGUGUGUAUCCUGCCCUUCUCUUUGGGAUAACUUCAGGUAACUGGGGUUACUACAGGAUCGGAGCUCCCGCUGCAUGGUGGGGGUUGGAACGUUUCGGCGGGUGGGGUUGGAUUAGCGGCUUAUCAGCUUGUUGGUGGGGUAGUGGCUUACCAAGGCAUUGACCGGUACCGGGCCUGAGAGAGUGACCGGCGACAUAGGGACUGAGAUGCGGCACAGACGCCUACGGGAGGCAGCAGUGGGGAAGAGUGCACAAUGGACGGAGGGCGGGUGCAGCAACGCCUCGUGCGGUAAGGCGGCCUUGGUGUUGUAGACCACUUUCGCCUGAGACGAAGCGUGAUUGACGGGAACGGGUAAAGAAGCACCGGCUAACUUCGUG
rnacentral:rRNA from 1 species